GGGGUUCUAGCUCAUCGGUAGAGCGCUCGCUUAGCAUGCAACUGCGAGAGGCGCUGGGUUCGAUUCCCAGGUACUCCA